UACGGAGGGGGCUAGCGUUGUUCGGAAUUACUGGGCGUAAAGCGUGCGCAGGCGGCGCGUUUAAGACAGGUGUGAAAGCCCCGAGCUUAACUUGGGAAUUGCGCUUGUGACUGGCGUGCUGGAGUGUGGCAGAGGGAGGUGGAAUUCCACGUGUAGCAGUGAAAUGCGUAGAGAUGUGGAGGAACACCGAUGGCGAAGGCAGCCCCCUGGGCCAGCACUGACGCUCAUGCACGAAAGCGUGGGGAGCAAACAGG
rnacentral:rRNA from 1 species